rnacentral:rRNA from 1 species
UGGGGAAUAUUGCACAAUGGGCGCAAGCCUGAUGCAGCCAUGCCGCGUGUGUGAAGAAGGCCUUCGGGUUGUAAAGCACUUUCAGCGGGGAGGAAGGCGAUAAGGUCAAUAACCUCAUCGAUUGACGUUACCCGCAGAAGAAGCACCGGCUAACUCCGUGCCAGCAGCCGCGGUAAUACGGAGGGUGCAAGCGUUAAUCGGAAUUACUGGGCGUAAAGCGCACGCAGGCGGUUGAUUGAGUCAGAUGUGAAAUCCCCGGGCUUAACCCGGGAAUUGCAUCUGAUACUGGUCAGCUAGAGUCUUGUAGAGGGGGGUAGAAUUCCAUGUGUAGCGGUGAAAUGCGUAGAGAUGUGGAGGAAUACCGGUGGCGAAGGCGGCCCCCUGGACAAAGACUGACGCUCAGGUGCGAAAGCGUGGGGAGCAAACAGG